rnacentral:pre_miRNA from 9 species
CCUCACCAGAAUGCAUGACUCUUCAAUCUCGGGACUCGCAGAAUUAAUGGAAUGCCGUCCUAAGGUUGUUGAGUUCUGCGUUUCUGGGC